GCUCAUGUGGCUCAGUGGUAGAGCAUUUGAUUCGUAAUCAAAAGGUCCGUGGUUCAAUCCCGCGUAUGAGCU
rnacentral:tRNA from 1 species